AGCGUAUAUUAAAGUUGUUGCAGUUAAAAAGCUCGUAGUUGAAUUUCGGGGUUAGUAGGUUGGUCAUGCCUCUGGUAUGUACUAAUCUCACUGAUUCCUCCCUCUUGACGAACUGUAAUGUCAUUAAUUUGGUGUUGCAGGAAAUCAGGACUGUUACUUUGAAAAAAUUAGAGUGUUUAAAGCAGGCUUAGGCUUGAAUACAUUAGCAUGGAAUAAUGAAAUAGGACGUUUGAACCUAUUUUGUUGGUUUCUAGGAUCGACGUAAUGAUUAAUAGGGAUAGUUGGGGGCAUUAGUAUUCAAUUGUCAGAGGUGAAGUUCUUGGAUUUAUUGAAGACUAACUACUGCGAAAGCAUUUGCCAAGGAUGUUUUCAUUAAUCAAGAACGAAAGUUAGGGGAUCGAAGACGAUCAGAUACCGUCGUAGUCUUAACCAUAAACUAUGCCGACUAGGGAUCGGAUGAUGUUAAUUUUUUAAUGACUC
rnacentral:rRNA from 1 species